rnacentral:rRNA from 1 species
UGGGGAAUAUUGGACAAUGGGCGGAAGCCUGAUCCAGCAACGCCGCGUGAGGGAUGACGGCCUUCGGGUUGUAAACCUCUUUCAGUACCGACGAAGCGAAAGUGACGGUAGGUACAGAAGAAAGGACCGGCCAACUACGUGCCAGCAGCCGCGGUAAUACGUAGGGUCCGAGCGUUGUCCGGAAUUAUUGGGCGUAAAGGGCUCGUAGGCGGUUUGUCGCGUCGGGAGUGAAAACAGCGGGCUUAACUCGUUGCUUGCUUUCGAUACGGGCAGACUAGAGGUAUGCAGGGGAGAAUGGAAUUCCUGGUGUAGCGGUGAAAUGCGCAGAUAUCAGGAGGAACACCGGUGGCGAAGGCGGUUCUCUGGGCAUUACCUGANGCUGAGGAGCGAAAGUGUGGGGAGCGAACAGGAUUAGAUACCCUGGUAGUCCACACCGUAAACGUUGGGCGCUAGGUGUGGGGUCCUUUCCACGGAUUCCGUGCCGUAGCUAACGCAUUAAGCGCCCCGCCUGGGGAGUACGGCCGCAAGGCUAAAACUC